GCAUAUCAAUAAGCGGAGGAAAAGAAACCAACAGGGAUUGCUCUAGUAACGGCGAGUGAAGCAGCAAUAGCUCAAAUUUGAAAUCUGGCGUCUUCGACGUCCGAGUUGUAAUUUGUAGAGGAUGCUUCUGAGUGGCCACCGACCUAAGUUCCUUGGAACAGGACGUCAUAGAGGGUGAGAAUCCGUAUGCGGUCGGAAAGGCGCUCUAUACGUAGCUCCUUCGACGAGUCGAGUUGUUUGGGAAUGCAGCUCUAAAUGGGAGGUAAAUUUCUUCUAAAGCUAAAUAUUGGCCAGAGACCGAUAGCGCACAAGUAGAGUGAUCGAAAGAUGAAAAGCACUUUGGAAAGAGAGUUAAAAAGCACGUGAAAUUGUUAAAAGGGAAGGGAUUGCAACCAGACUUGCUCGCGGUGUUCCGCCGGUCUUCUGACCGGUCUACUCGCCGCGUUGCAGGCCAGCAUCGUCUGGUGCCGCUGGAUAAGACUUGAGGAAUGUAGCUCCCUCGGGAGUGUUAUAGCCUCUUGUGAUGCAGCGAGCGCCGGGCGAGGUCCGCGCUCGGCUAGGAUGCGGCUAAAAUA
rnacentral:rRNA from 1 species